GAUGAAGAACGCAGCGAAAUGCGAUAAGUAAUGUGAAUUGCAGAAUUCAGUGAAUCAUCGAAUCUUUGAACGCACAUUGCGCCCGUCAGUAUUCUGGCGGGCAUGUCUGUUCGAGCGUCAUUACGCCCCUCAAGUCCCCUGUGGACUUGGUGUUGGGGAUCGGCGAGGCUGGUUUUCCAGCACAGCCGUCCCUUAAAUUAAUUGGCGGUCUCGCCGUGGCCCUCCUCUGCGCAGUAGUAAAACACUCGCAACAGGAGCCCGGCGCGGUCCACUGCCGUAAAACCCCCCAACUUCUUAUAGUUGACCUCGAAUCAGGUAGGACUACCCGCUGAACUUAAGCAUAUCAAUAAGCGGAGGA
rnacentral:misc_RNA from 1 species